CUUGCUUUUAUAUAUAUAGAUAUACAUUGACACAAUAGGGCUUUUAGGAAACACACUAAUCUAAUAAACAUUUCAUAGUUAAUGUCAAUAUGCAAUUCAGGUACAUUUUCAUAAUAUUAUAUAAUACCUCGAAUAUUAUGAAAAUGUACCUUAUUUUAUAACUUAAAGGAAAUAUUUUGGGUUACUUAAACACACUUUUAAGUCCCAUGUUAAAUCGAAGCUUGGCAGGUUUAAGAUGUCAAAAUAAUACCAAUCUAGAUCAGUUAUUUCGACAGUUAAUUUGCAUAGUUGCGUUGCCGUGCUCGAGAUCUCUCGACGUGGUAACAGAAAUAAGCCAGCUUACGAGCCGCAACUGAGAGCCCGGUCGAAAGCUGAGCGUCUGAGAGGCGGCAAACCAGACGACAAAUGCCACAGAACACGUAAUGAUGAUAAACGCGGGAUGCAAGAUGUGGCAAAGUGGGUGGUUUAUGGGAAAGAGGAGGAGGAGUGGGGAGGAGGAUGGGCUCUUGUGGGAGGGCCUGUGCAAACAGUGCAGGAAUGGAACACAGUCGGUUUGGGGGCCUGUUCCUUAACCCAUACAGCUCGGUGACAUAAUCGGCACAGUUGGCCUGGCAACAACUGUUUUGCCAGCGCUUGUUACAAAACAGCCAGCUGGAGGGUCUUUUCGAGGGGCCAAGGGUUCUUUUCUUUUUUUUCCGGGAAGGGGAAGGGAAAAGGGUGAAGGGAACCGGGUUCGCAGCACUUGAUAUUAAAAUAAACAUAUACUUUUGUACACCGAAGGAAUGACUGUUUUGUGGGUUGCGAACUUCCGAUGGCAAAUUCACCUUUUGUGGAUUUGGAAGAAAAUUGUACCUUUAGCGGACAAGAGUUGCAUGGCAACGAUUUCCAAUUAAUUAUUUGCAUAGCAUAGUAGUAGCGGGAAAUGCGAGCGACAGCCAUAAUUUGAAUAGGAACGCAUUAAAAAUGAUUCAGGCAACUUGACGGUUAAUUUGUGUAAGCAACCAACCUCCAACUCCAAGUGAAUAGUGAAUCGAUAGCGUCAAUCAGCGUAAUGAUGCUCUUCCCGGCGAAUCGAUGGCCCUUGAUUGGUUUGUUUAAUCCGGGGAGGCAACGGAAGUUACAAUGGUAACCAUAGGUAUUAGCCAGCAAUCUACCAAUCAAUAUCCACGCACACACUAGCUUCUCUUUCAGUUUUUUUUUUUUUUUUUUUUUUGCCAACCUUUCUGGGGAAUCGGAGAUUGGAGGUCAUGCCGUGUCUGACCCAAAACUGCACGUUUUCUGCCCGGUGUGUUGGUGUUUGUGUGUGUGUGUUUGCUUUUUGGUCUGUGACCUUUGACAUCUGACUCUGCUCUGCUCUGCUUUGGAGCUUCAAGUUGAACGGAGUUGAUUGACAUAAUUCAUUUUGACCGCCUCGAUUUGGUUUCGAAUUUUGGAUAUGAAAUUGCUUUGUCGGCCCUUUUGUCGCAUAUCGAUUUCGGGUAAAUGUCAAUCGAACCCUGGCAAAUGUCGUUGAACCGUCGGUGGGGAUCGGGGGGCGUAAGCCUGGCCUGUGGGCGUGCCCGGGCCAAAAGCCUUGGCCAUUUUAUGGCUUCAUUUCAAUUUGGCAUUAAUUGGUGAAUGUUGGUUCAUUGUUGCUGUUGUUGUUGUGGCUGCAUUUUCAUAGUUUCGCCUGCGGCCGGCAAUCAACAAGCAGCUGCCAUCUCUCCGCUCUCUUUCUAGUGCACAUAAAGAAAAGUACCCCAACUUAAAAAAAAUUUUAAAAUACUUUAAGGGAAAGCAGAUCAGAUAACUAACCAACCUACAAAACGAGCAUUAUUUCUCAUUUCAAAGCAACUAUAACGUACUCCUGGCUUUUUAUUUUUUUCUUUGAAAAAUUAAAGGAAAUAACCAUUAAUUAAAUAAUUUCUUUUACAUUUAAGAAUUCGAUUCUUUUCAAAAGACUUUGUUUAUUUAAAUUUUGGAUGGUAUCAAUCAUGGUCUUUACGUUCCUUUUUUUUAAAUACUAUGUAUAACCAAUUCUAAGGGAACACUUUUGGCUUCCCCCACUGAUUAUUUUCCCCAGGUGUACCACCUUAUUUUCCUUUGGCUCCUCCUGCCCUCCUCCUCCACCUCGCCCAUGCUCCACUGGGUUGCCUGGGUCUGCCUGUGUUUCGGCCAUGCAGAUUGUUGCUGGCUGGAACAUUUUCAAUGCAUAAUCAACAACAACAACAACAACAAUAAUAAUAAUAACAACAACAACAACAACAUCUCGCUACGUGACGAAUUACGUGCAAAAUUGCUACCCAAGAGCAACGGCAACGGCAACAGCAACGUGAAGCGAGCGAGCAGCCAAGUGUUGCCCUUUGUGCAGCUGCUUUUUUCCGUUGCCAUGACGUUUCAGCGCUUUUUUUUAUUUUUCCUUUUUUCAUUAUUAUUAGUUUUAUUUCAUUUUGCGAUUCUGGUUGCUGACUGAAAGACUUCAUUUUCUAAUGCGCAAAAACAGAUUCUCUUUGAGCUUGUCAAAGUCUGGAUCAGCAGCACUUAGAUUGGAGUGUCACGUACGACAGAGCCAAAAUUUUAUUGAUCGCAGCCUUUGGCUUUGAGUUCGCUCAGCUGCUAGUUUUCGGUACGCACAACGCAUAAUUUUCAAAUCAAAUUGCAAUUUUCGCGGCUGCCAGAAAAAGAAGAAGAUCGCUGGGUGAAAUUGUGUGCAGCGUAACAUAUUAUUAAAUUGCCUUGAUUAUGGCCACAGAGCCAUCGCUCGGGGCUUCGGACGCGUUCGGUUGGAGCACCAGAAAGCCCAGAAAGAAAUAGCCAAUUUGAAACCGACCGAGUAUUUCCUGUCGUGUUCGCCGCUCUGUUGUUGUUGUUGUUGGUUUGUUCCUCUCCGCUGGCCGGCAAUUAAAGUGUGUAAACAUGGCCGACUGAGCCGGGCCAAAAGCGAGCUAAAUCGGCUGUCAGAGUCGCGUUGGCAGACGUCCGAUCAUAAAUCUUAGAGUGCUGCCAAAAAUAGAGUCAUUCUUUUUGAGGGGAUCCGAUCCAAACGGAAUGGAAUAGUCUCGAUUCGUUUCGAUUCGAUCCGAUGGAUGGAUGCAUGGCCGCUUGGACUGUUGUUCAGCAGCAGAACAGGAACAACGAGACCGAUAAAGACCGAAAAUAAACCCCGCCACACACAUGCAGACAACAAAGAAAACGACCUGAGAAUUGGGGAGGCACUGCAUUUGAAAUGAAAAAGCAUUCGGAACGAAGAACUUAAAGAAAAUGUACUAUUUUUGGAGCACCGAUUUGGAAAUACUCUGGGACAUGUCAGGAGUUCAUAAGAGAUUGGUAAUUAAAGGUGAUGGAUAGCUUUGUGUAAAUUACAGGGGAAGUGGUAUAUAUUUAUAUGCAUACCGAAUAAUAAGAAAACCUAGUAAAGUGUUCUUAAAAACAAUA